GAUGAACGCUAGCUACAGGCUUAACACAUGCAAGUCGAGGGGAAACGAUGAGAGAGCUUGCUCUCUCAGGCGUCGACCGGCGCACGGGUGAGUAACGCGUAUCCAACCUGCCCAUUACAGGGGAAUAACCUUGCGAAAGUAAGACUAAUGCCCCAUGGUAUUCUCAGCAGACAUCUAAUGAGGAUUAAAGAUUUAUCGGUAAUGGAUGGGGAUGCGUCUGAUUAGCUUGUUGGCGGGGUAACGGCCCACCAAGGCAACGAUCAGUAGGGGUUCUGAGAGGAAGGUCCCCCACAUUGGAACUGAGACACGGUCCAAACUCCUACGGGAGGCAGCAGUGGGGAAUAUUGGUCAAUGGACGAGAGUCUGAACCAGCCAAGUAGCGUGCAGGAUGACGGCCCUAUGGGUUGUAAACUGCUUUUAUAGGGGAAUAAAGUGAUCUACGUGUAGUUUAUUGUAUGUACCCUAUGAAUAAGGACCGGCUAAUUCCGUGCCAGCAGCCGCGGUAAUACGGAAGGUUCGGGCGUUAUCCGGAUUUAUUGGGUUUAAAGGGAGCGUAGGCCGUAGAUUAAGCGUGUUGUGAAAUGUAGAUGCUCAACAUCUGACUUGCAGCGCGAACUGGUUUACUAGAGUGUGCACAACGUAGGCGGAAUUCGUCGUGUAGCGGUGAAAUGCUUAGAUAUGACGAAGAACUCCGAUUGCGAAGGCAGCUUACGGGAGCACAACUGACGCUGAAGCUCGAAGGUGCGGGUAUCAAACAGGAUUAGAUACCCUGGUAGUCCGCACAGUAAACGCUGGAUGCCCGCUGUUGGUUCAUUAGAGUCAGCGGCCAAGCGAAAGCAUUAAGCAUCCCACCUGGGGAGUACGCCGGCAACGGUGAAACUCAAAGGAAUUGACGGGGGCCCGCACAAGCGGAGGAACAUGUGGUUUAAUUCGAUGAUACGCGAGGAACCCUACCCCGGGCCUGAAAUUGCAGACGAACGCGGCAGAGAUGCCAAGGGCCCUUCGGGGCGUCUGUGAAGGUGCUGCAUUGGUGUCGUCAGCUCGUGCCGUGAGGUGUCGGCCUAAGUGCCAUAACGAGCGCAACCCCUUUUCUUAGUUGCCAUCAGGGUCAUGCCUGGGCACUCAUGGAAAAUCCGCCCACGAUAGGGGUGUAGGAACGGGUGGGAAAUACGUUCAAAUCACCACGGCCCUUACGUUCGGGGGCCUACACCUGUU
rnacentral:rRNA from 3 species